UACGAAGGUGGCAAGCGUUACUCGGAAUUACUAGGCGUAAAGGGCAGGUAGGUGGUUCGAUAAGUCUGUUGUGAAAUUUCCCGGCUUAACUGGGAAGGGUCAACAGAUACUAUCGGGCUUGAGUAUGGGAGAGGGUACUGGAAUUCCCGGUGUAGCGGUGAAAUGCGCAGAGAUCGGGAGGAACACCAAUGGCGAAAGCAGGUGCCUGGACCAUUACUGACACUCAGCUGCGAAAGCUAGGGGAGCAAACAGG
rnacentral:rRNA from 1 species